CGACGAAUUUUAUUGGAAAACUUUGCAUUCACUAAAAUAAAGUUGAGGCAAAUUUCUGAAAGUGAACAGUUUUUCUAAAGGCCGUAAGUACUCCUUCAUGUAGCACAACAAUUUGAUCAACUUGGGGCAUUUACGCAUGUCCUACAAAUCAUACAAUAUAUGGACUUCAUAAAUUCUUGCAAUUUUGUGGGUUAAUUUACACUUUACUCAUUCACGAGAUUAGACUUGUCUCAUUUUUUUUUGGCACGAUUAUUAAAGAGAGUAUAAUUUGUAUAAUAAAGAUGUGAGAUCCAUAUUAUUUAUAGUGUAAAAUAAUUA
rnacentral:lncRNA from 1 species